rnacentral:rRNA from 1 species
AGAGUUUGAUCCUGGCUCAGAUUGAACGCUGGCGGCAUGCUUUACACAUGCAAGUCGAACGGUAACAGGGAGCUUGCUCCGCUGACGAGUGGCGAACGGGUGAGUAAUGCAUCGGAACGUGCCUAUUUGUGGGGGAUAACGUAGCGAAAGUUACGCUAAUACCGCAUACGCCCUGAGGGGGAAAGCGGGGGAUUCGUAAGAACCUCGCGCAAUUAGAGCGGCCGAUGUCGGAUUAGCUAGUUGGUGGGGUAAAGGCUCACCAAGGCGACGAUCCGUAGCGGGUCUGAGAGGAUGAUCCGCCACACUGGGACUGAGACACGGCCCAGACUCCUACGGGAGGCAGCAGUGGGGAAUUUUGGACAAUGGGCGAAAGCCAAGGUCCAGCCAUGCCGCGUGAGUGAAGAAGGCC